rnacentral:pre_miRNA from 1 species
AAAAAAACAAACCCUGGGUUUCCGUGUCCAACGUUUGACUGUCCGUCUUAUAUGAAAUUUUUUUAUAAUUAGUAUUUUCAUUGUUGUUAGAUGAUAAAACAUGAUUAAUACUUUAUGCGUGACUUGUCUUUUUUAAAUUUUUUAUAAUUUUUUCAAAUAAGACGGACGGUCAAACGUUGGACACGGAAACCUAGGGUUUGUCUUUUU